UGUGAUAUGAUGAUUGUAUUACCGCCCCAGUCUGAGGUGAAAUGCUGACUGGUAAAAUCUGAAAUAAG
rnacentral:snoRNA from 1 species